rnacentral:rRNA from 1 species
GUAGUUGACUCCGUGCACAGAACGACGCUGGCGGCAGGCUUAACACAUGCAAGUCGAACGCAUCGCAAGAUGAGUGGCAGACGGGUGAGUAACACGUGGGAACGUACCCUUUACUACGGAAUAACGCAUGGAAACGUGUGCUAAUACCGUAUGUGCCCUUUGGGGGAAAGAUUUAUCGGUAAAGGAUCGGCCCGCGUUGGAUUAGCUAGUUGGUGGGGUAAAGGCCUACCAAGGCGACGAUCCAUAGCUGGUCUGAGAGGAUGAUCAGCCACAUUGGGACUGAGACACGGCCCAAACUCCUACGGGAGGCAGCAGUGGGGAAUAUUGGACAAUGGGCGCAAGCCUGAUCCAGCCAUGCCGCGUGAGUGAUGAAGGCCCUAGGGUUGUAAAGCUCUUUCACCGGAGAAGAUAAUGACGGUAUCCGGAGAAGAAGCCCCGGCUAACUUCGUG